CUCCAGCCAGCGCGCGAGUGGGGGGCCCUGGCCGGUCCCUAGGGCCGUCCUCUCCCGAGCCAGGGAACGAGCUGUGAGAAGGGGCUGCUGCAGUCCCUCCAUGCUGACCGUCUCAGCCCGAGUUCAGCCAGGAGAGGGACAGCCCUCGUCACCGUGUGACAUGUUUACUUCUAGCCGAGGAAAAUACCGCCGCUGCGGCUGCCCUUCCCUGCGCAGGCACUGGCCUGGAGACGGAUAUUUUAUGUCUUCCUUUGAUGAUUUACAAAUAAAUUAGUGCGAUCGAGAAGGUCUGCCAGCAUCUAUGCGUACGGGAAACCCAAGACGGUGAAAAAUGAUCGUGAUUUACCGUAUCCCGAUACUUCCUUCUUAAGAACCAAAUAAAUAUCAUCGGCUAGUUUAUGGAGCUGACAUAUUUAUUGCAGAAUUCCCGCCGGAGGACUUCCCAUUGUCCUGUGUUCUCACACAUUGUUUUCACAAAUUGUGGCUUGAAGGAAGGCAGGGAAAUUCAGGCUGGAGAAGCAAGAUGUUAUCUUUUGGAAAGGAUGCGCCUCUCUAACGGGACAGGAUAAUCCAUUCAGAGGCUGGAAAGCCCAGUCCUCCGGGGGUGUGAUAAAUCCACAGGAUCUGGAAUCUGGGACUGCUUUGGGACCUUGAAGUUAGCUGGGACAACUUAGCCCCGGCCCAGACAAACAGUGUAUCCUUCUCGCCGGAUAAGCGCAGACAGCUGUGCACUCCGGUUUGCCCUGUUUUCCUUACAGGCGAUUGCAUUCACGGAGGCCGAUCUCCUCACGUCCAUCAGCAGUGGGCUAGGCGCCUGAUGCCAACCUGGGCCCGUGCGGCUCUGUGAUUGGAAAUCGGUUUCCAACAGGGACGGGGCUCCUGCUCCUUGCAGGUGGGACCUGUGCAUGGAGAGCGAGGCAGAGCAGGGUCACUCGUGACUACCAGAGGACCAUGCUGUCCUCAGAAGGUCAGAGUAGGACAGCUGGCAUCGCCGGUACAGAACUCACGUCUUGAGUGGGAUCCAAGCAGCUCCUCACCCUCCCCGCUCCUAACGCGCCUGGCACCCUCUGAAGCCACCCAGGUGCCCCUAUCUGUGCAAGCGCCUUUGGCCAGGCUGCAUCGGAAGCCUGCAGCAGUGGCAGCUUUGAGGGACAGGAGAGCAGCUCGCCCCAGCUCUCCUGUUGCUAGUUGCCCGAGUUUCCCCAAGAUCACACCCACACACCCGGCCGGAGCAACCCAGCCAGGCCUGGGGAGGGAGCCGUCUUUCUGGGACAGUGUCCAGUCGUUCCGUCGUUCGUUCCGUCCCAGCCAAGCACCUGCGCGGCCGAGCUGGUUCUCAGGUGUUCACAGACUGACUGUGGCUGCUGUCGGGCCUGUCCUUGGAAAACCCCACGUCCCCCGUUCUCUGUGCUGCUCCUGGAGCUGAAAGCCGCCUCACUGAGUCUGCGGACAGCCUGAUGGGCCCCAGGACCUGCGUGUGCUGUUCCGCCUCCUCGGUCAGCAGCGAGACGCCUGCAGGGGCCGUUCUUCUGGCUUGGGAGGGACUCGAGCCGCUGCCCAAACCUUCACAGCUGCAUUUAGCAGUCGAAGGAAGGUGAUGGGAAGCCACACAGAGCCCCUCAGCACCAAGCUUUGCUGCCUGUUUGGUGCUGGUGGAGUCAACUGCACGGGCCCAAGUGUCACUGAGCUGCAGACAGCUCGGACCUCUCCAGAGAGCCCGCCAGGACGGCAGGCAUGGAAAACAGGGCUUCUCCCACCUGGCUCCCACGGGCCGAGGCGGAGGGUGCCUACCCCAGUGUGUAGCCCCCCUCGGUUUAAUGUUUCUCUGUCCACAAACAAGAAUCGUUUUCUAAACCACUGCCUCAGCUUACUUUAAAAGGUCCCAGGACAAAAGUCCUAGGUGAGCCCAGACCCCAGUCUGAGGUGUGGACUGAGAAAAAUAUUGUACAAUCAAAACAGAACAAGUGCUGGGUGAGAAACAGCAAUGAUCUGACUGAGAAAGUUAGCCAGCGUUGUUAAAGAGACUGUUACAUACGACCUUUUUCUUUCCUGUGUUUUUUGGAGACAG
rnacentral:lncRNA from 1 species